rnacentral:rRNA from 1 species
GACAGAGGUGCCGAGCGUUAGGCGGAAUCACUGGGCUUAAAGCGUGUGUAGGCGGGUCGUUAAGUGUCUUGUGAAAUCCCACCGCUCACCGGUGGAACGGCUGGGCAUACUGGCGACCUUGAGAGGCCUAGGGGCAGACGGAACAAGCGGUGGAGCGGUGAAAUGCGUAGAUAUCGCUUGGAACGCCGACGGCGAAAGCAGUCUGCUGGGGGCCUUCUGACGCUGAGACACGAGAGCCAGGGGAGCGAACGGG